rnacentral:tRNA from 1 species
GCCGAGGUAGCCAAGCCCGGAUUAAGGCGCUGGUCUUGAAAACCAGUGUCCUAUGGACGCGUGAGUUCAAGAAUUUCGUCAAUUCGACGAGAUUGAACACAUCUCACCCUCGGCGCCA